GCGAAGUAGCUGAUUUCACACUGUCAAGAAAAGCUUCUAUCGAGUUUAAAGGCGCCCGUACCGUAAACCGACACAGGUGGGUGAGGAGAGUAUCCUAAGGCCAGCGAGAGAACUAUUGUUAAGGAACUCGGCAAAAUGACCCCGUAACUUAGGGAGAAGGGGUGCCUGUCUAUGACAGGCCGCAGAGAAUAGGCCCAAGCGACUGUUUACCAAAAACACAGGUUUCUGCUAAGUCGCAAGACGAUGUAUAGGAGCUGACGCCUGCCCGGUGCUGGAAGGUUAAGGGGAUCUGUUAGAGCAAUCGAAGCAGUGAACUUAAGCCCCAGUAAACGGCGGCCGUAACAAUAACGGUCCUAAGGUAGCGAAAUUCCUUGUCGGGUAAGUUCCGACCCGCACGAAAGGCGUAACGAUUUGGGCACUGUCUCAACAAUAGACUCGGUGAAAUUGUGAUCCUGGUGAAGAUGCCGGGUACCUGCGACAGGACGGAAAGACCCCAUGGAGCUUUACUGUAGCUUGACGUUGGGUCUUGGUACUACAUGUACAGGAUAGGUGGGAGACUAUGAAGCAUGGACGCCAGUCUGUGUGGAGUCAUCCUUGGGAUACCACCCUUGUAGUACUGGGAUCCUAACCAUAGGCCUUGAAUCAGGUCUUGGAACACCGUCAGGUGGGCAGUUUGACUGGGGCGGUCGCCUCCUAAAAAGUAACGGAGGCGCUCAAAGGUUUCCUCAGCACGGUCGGAAAUCGUGCGAAGAGUGUAAAGGCAAAAGGAAGCUUGAUUGCAAGACAUACAGGUCGAGCAAGGGCGAAAGUCGGACUUAGUGAUCCGGUGGUACCGCAUGGAAGGGCCAUCGCUCAACGGAUAAAAGCUACCCUGGGGAUAACAGGCUUAUCUCCCCCAAGAGUCCACAUCGACGGGGAGGUUUGGCACCUCGAUGUCGGCUCAUCACAUCCUGGGGCUGUAGUAGGUCCCAAGGGUUGGGCUGUUCGCCCAUUAAAGUGGUACGCGAGCUGGGUUCAGAACGUCGUGAGACAGUUCGGUCCCUAUCCGUCGCAGGCGUAGGAAAUUUGAGAAGACCUGUCCUUAGUACGAGAGGACCGGGAUGGACGCACCUCUGGUGUACCAGUUGUUCUGCCAAGGGCAUGGCUGGGUAGCUAUGUACGGAAUGGAUAAGCGCUGAAAGCAUCUAAGCGCGAAGCCAACUUCAAGAUAAGAUUUCCCACCGUAAGGGUAAGACCCCAGGAAGACUACCUGGUUGAUAGGUCGAAGGUGUAAGUGCAGUAAUGUAUUUAGCUUAUCGAUACUAAUAGGUCGAGGACUUGAUC
rnacentral:rRNA from 1 species